UGGGCGUUGCUAAGCGUUGGUCAGAGCCACAGUGCCUCUGGUAAAUAGUCUCAGGAUGGAACUUCUUUUAGUGGAACAUGUGUACGUUCAGAAGUAGUUUUACAAAGAAAGAGAAAGA